UCCAAUCAGAUGGGAGCCACAAGGAUGGCUGCAUUCCGAUAAACAUUACACAACCGUCCGAUUUCCGGCUUUUGGCGAUCUGACAUGGCAUUCUGUAUCCCAGAUUGAAACCUUCCGCUGGGGUUACCUAAAGAGAAAUCGCUCGUUAUCUACAGAAGACUGAAGAAUACGCAAUGGCUUCCAUCAGCUGAAAAGUGCGUAUUAUUCUACAGGACAUGUUGAGACACCUCGUGUAGCCCUGCUGUAUCGUCGAGACUGUGCACCUUGGCAGAAGGCGGACUACAUUAUUUUAAAGGUUCACCGAUAUAUUGUCUGUGUUAUAACGGCAUUAAAUGCUUGCGCAUGUGCGGCGCCAUUGAUAUACGCAUUUUCUUAACUUCAUGAAAAGUUGCUAAAUUUUUGGAAACUAUGUAGUGAGGAGUGUCUUAAACGUUAUGUUUUGAAUGUGCAUCAGUUCCCGUAUCAUAUUUAAUUUGCAAUACUUAUUUGCAUAGCUUUUUGGGGAAUUUACAAGCGUUUUAAAUUCUAGGAGAUCUGAGCCAAAUGUUGACGAUUUGAUUGCCUUUUUGAUCAAGGUGAUUUUGCAUCAGAUUCCUGCAAAAUGUGGUCGUUCUCACCACACCUACAUCCCUGGAUGGACCCCAACACCUUGAAAAAAAUUAGAAGUAGCCCGUACCCUGGAAAAGUCUGUCCACUCCUGCUCCAAAGCAUGGAUCUGCAAAUGUUUGGUACCUCGGAGCACAUUUUAGAACAUCGAUGGCGUGGCGAGCACCUUUAUUCUUUCAGGCGUGAAAUAUGACUCCAAAUGAAGAAUGGCCCAGAUGCAGUAGCUUUUCAAAUUUUAAAAUGCAG